UACAGAGGGUGCAAGCGUUAAUCGGAAUCACUGGGCGUAAAGGGCGCGUAGGCGGCCUUCUAAGUCGAACGUGAAAUCCCCGGGCUCAACCCGGGAACUGCGUCCGAUACUGGAAGGCUUGAAUCCGGGAGAGGGAUGCGGAAUUCCAGGUGUAGCGGUGAAAUGCGUAGAUAUCUGGAGGAACACCGGUGGCGAAGGCGGCAUCCUGGACCGGCAUUGACGCUGAGGCGCGAAAGCUAGGGGAGCAAACGGG
rnacentral:rRNA from 1 species